rnacentral:rRNA from 1 species
CGGUAAUUCCAGCUCCAAUAGCGUAUAUUAAAGUUGUUGCAGUAAAAAGCUCGUAGUUGAAUUUCGGGGUUAGUAGGCUGGUCAUGCCUUCGGUAUGUACUGGUCUCACUGAUUCCUCCUUCCUGAUGAACCGUAAUGGCAUUAAUUUGGUGUUGCGGGGAAUUUGGACUGUUACUUUGAAAAAAUUAGAGUGUUUAAAGCAGGCUAACGCUUGAAUACAUUAGCAUGGAAUAAUGAAAUAGGACGUUCGAUCCUAUUUUGUUGGUUUCUAGGAUUGACGUAAUGAUUAAUAGGGAUAGUUGGGGGCAUUAGUAUUCAAUUGUCAGAGGUGAAAUUCUUGGAUUUAUUGAAGACUAACUACUGCGAAAGCAUUUGCCAAGGAUGUUUUCAUUAAUCAAGAACGAAAGUUAGGGGAUCGAAGACGAUCAGAUACCGUCGUAGUCUUAACCAUAAACUAUGCCGACUAGGGAUCGGAUGAUGUUAAUUUUUUAAUGACUCAUUCGGCGCCUUACGGGAAAC